CACAGACACAUAUAUAGUCUCUGGCGUGUCAGCUGUAAUUAGCGAAGUGACUGAGUAAUAGCUUGGAAUACGCAGAAACAGCGCUGGCGCAAUCAAAAGUGUCAGAUAAUUUAAGGUGGAACGGAAGGUCGCUGUUGAUACUGUCAUUAUGUUCAGCGGGGAUUAUACUUAAGUACUGUUGCUGGGCGUCAUGGUGGCAAAGACGAAAAAGGCAAAGUGUGCACAUUACACGGGAGUGAUGAGCAUUAAAAUUUGCGAACAAAAUGCUAUGCAGAUAAGGACAAAAUAAGGCGCUCUCAUAAACGAGCCGCGCUUUCUUGAAAAUUGGAUAAGCGCCGCUGAAUGAUUGUCAUACAUCAGUUUGAGAGUAAAUCAAUGACUGUUGCACGUCAAAAGACGUGAAAAACGGAACAAUUUCUGUGGAGUAGCACCAUCAUGAUAUAAAUGUUCCAUAACGCUCUAACAUUUUUCAGCUUUCUGCUUAACGUACUGCACUGUUUACAACAUGAUAAGUAGUGCUGACAGCAUGUAAACCACAUCCUGAUGCACCUCACCUCAGAGUUGUUUGUGGAAGUAUAAGGACAAACACAUGAAUCCCUAAUAUUUCCAGAUCUUCUAAGGGUAAUUCUCUGCCAUAAAAGGCUUUGAAAGGAGUUUUACCUCUCACAGGAC